UGGCUCAGAUGGUAAAGCGUCUGCCUGCAAUGCGGGGGACCCAGGUUUGAUUCCUGG
rnacentral:tRNA from 1 species